GCGAGAAAACUUUGCAAUGUGCGAAAGCACGACAAGGUUAAUCCGAGUGGUUUCUGCUAAAGAAACCUUUUGUCAGUCCUAGAAACACUAACGAAUAAGGGGUGGGCAAGUUCUGGUGUCAGCCGCCGCGGUAAAACCAGCACCUCAAGUGGUCAGGAUGAUUAUUGGGCCUAAAGCAUCCGUAGCUCGUUUUGUAAGUUUUCGGUUAAAUCCAUGCGCUUAACGUAUGGGCUGCCGGGAAUACUGCAUAACUAGGAAGUGGGAGAGGUAGACGGUACUCGGUAGGAAGGGGUAAAAUCCUUUGAUCUAUUGAUGACCACCUGUGGCGAAGGCGGUCUACCAGAACACGUUCGACGGUGAGGGAUGAAAGCUGGGGGAGCAAACCGGAUUAGAUACCCUCGUAGUCCCUGAGCGGGCUGGCAAGGCGCAU
rnacentral:rRNA from 1 species